UAGAGGAAAAGCUGGGCCGGAAAAGUGGGAACCUCUAGGGCGCCGCCCUGUUGCUACUGGUCAAUGUGGCCAGCGCAAUUACUAUUGAAAAAGCUGAGAACAAGUACAGUUCACCUUAUGCUUUGUCAUCUAAAAACGCAUACCUGAUGGCUUUAUGAAGGCGGUACGUUAAUAUUAAGUUUACAGAAAGCGAUCGCUAAGUCCGUGACUUAUGAAAAUCACGAUGUACGCAUUCAUGCAAUAAAAGAUGACGCGAAUUUCGGUUUCGAAUCUGUUUUUUGGAUGCGUAGUAGUUUCGUUUGACAUGCGAUCGCGCGUCGACAUCGGACGCUAUGGCACACUCGUGCCUUAUGUGCCACCGAAGCCCCGAAGUGGUCUGGCAUAUACCUUCACAUGUAAGUAAACGAAUGUAUCUCCUUGUUGAGAAUAUCACGCGAGUAGGCAGCUCUUGUGGUACAUCACAAUCGUUUGAGAAGCGUCACAGUAGAGCAUUUUUCUGCAUCCGGAGCGGUGUUUUUAUUUGCAGGUUUCCCUUCAGUAGGAAAUUGCUGGACAGGCGGACCAGCGCACCGGAAUUGUACUGGCGAAGCCACAAGCAACUCAAAGAAUCUGUUUAAUUGUUGCACUUUGAACAAUCAUGCUUCUACAAAGGCCACAGCAGAUCAACAGCCUGAUGCCGAGUAUUUCUGUGCCACGAAGUAAUCAAGAGGCGAGUGCCUAGUGCGGACGAAAUCGAGUGCAUCGAGACUUAGAACGACAGAAAGCUGAGCUAGUUGACAAUGCCUACGCCUAGCCACAGCAGCUCCCUCAUACAGACUCCACAAACCAAGAGGCCAUGGAGGCAAAUGCAGGUAAGAGACAAUAAGCAAUAGCACUGGUAUCGACAUUCAUCUAAUUUCUUUUUAUUUCAUUUAGGCAGCCAGCACACCUCGAACAGCCACCUUGACUGCGGGUGUGUCACCCUAGUCGCCAAGGAAACAUUUGAGGGAAGUGACAGGCAAUGUGAACAGCCACUUCUCCAUGUAAACAAUACUCUUUCUCUCGGAUGACUCCUACGCCUCGCCACGCCAGCACACUUGUGCACAAAGAUGCCGCAGAGGCACGUGCAGGUCAGAGGCAAGAAGCAGUGGCACUGGUGUCGACAUUUACCCAAUUUCUUUUUCUUGCACUGAGGCAGCCAGCACACCUCGAACAGCCACCUUGACUGCGGCUGUGUCAGUAGAUUCCUGUUGUACAUAUGCUCAUAAUAAACUUCAGUAAACCUGAACUUCAUAAUAAACUUGAAGGCAAAUGGGA